GACUACGGCCAUAUCACGAUGAAUGCACCUCAUCCCGUCCGAUUUGAGAAGUUAAGCAUCGUCGAGCCACAUCAGUGCUAAGGUUGGAGACAACUUGGGAACCUGUGGUGCUGUAGUCU
rnacentral:rRNA from 1 species